CUGGUUUAGAUAAGCAGCCAUGUCAAUUCAUUCCUGGAGCUCCUGCACGUCACUGAAGCAGCUGAGGGAAACUUAGCAGCUCUCCUUGUAUGAGCAGCAGCACUGCUCUGUCACAGGGGUCCCCUGGGCCUGCCACAGCUGUGAAAAGCCCUGUUUAGCUCAGGUGUGAGGAAUUCUCUUGGACCUGCCCCUUAAUUUUGCCAGACUGGAGAAAUCAUUUGGCAUGCUCAUACUUCUUUAACCCCAUGAACUUGCAUGAUGAUUUCCCCUUCUGCAGUGAAACAGGUAACAUUUUCACAGAGGGGAACCUGCCUGGCUGGAACUGAAGGGGACUGAAGCAAGAGGUGUUCUGAACUUGGCAGCACAGCUCAGCUAAGGUAGAGAAGUCCACAGAAGUCCAUUUGCCUGGUAAAGCUGCAGUGGGGACAAUUAUCUCUCACAGCAACUACAGUUACAGGAAUUGGCUCCACAAACUUGGGGCUCUGUCUGCUUACAUUUGAACACUACUGAUAUGUGGCAGAGAAUUAUUCUGUGUGUAUUAAAUGCAGACUGAUGUUUUCCUUUGUGUCCAGUGUAUGUUUUGCUCCCAAAGGAAGGAAAAUGCAUUAUAAAACUGUCUUCCUUAUGCUUUCCUGUAAAGUGUCAGCUUCCUGAAAGUCAUGCAUGUAUUUGCAUUUAGUUCAUUUGGAAACUGAAGUCUGGAAUGAAUGGACAUAUCUGAGGUGAGGCAGUAAGUUGGUGUUACAAAGGAGAUGUUUGAGAUCACUUUUAAAAAAAUCUGGCAAGAGUAUGAGCAAAAGUCAGAUUUGUCCCUUUUAAGAGACUUUAAAAUCCCCUCCCCUUUAUCCUGCUUAGCAGUGUUGCCAUGACAGCUGACAGUCACAGGGAGGACAAGGACACAGCACACCUGGGUCAUUGUGAGCUUGGUUAGAAAUUUUAACCCAGUGCAGUUCCCUGUCCUGCAAUCAAAGGUACUGGAGGAAACACCAUCAUCUCUCUUUGCCCUGCACCCCAUACCCUGUUCAUGUGAUUAUCUUACAGCUUGUAAUUAUCUCCUCGGUGCAGCCCCCCAAGAAACAAUAAGCCCUCCUUACCUUCCUGCAGAAAGGAGUAACACACAUUGCCACUGAACAGACCUAGUUCAGCUGAAUUGUGAUGGCUCCUUAAAGAAUUACAAUAGCAGAAUUUGAUGGCA